CCUACGGGAGGCAGCAGUGGGGAAUAUUGGGCAAUGGGCGCAAGCCUGACCCAGCAACGCCGCGUGAAGGAAGAAGGCUUUCGGGUUGUAAACUUCUUUUCUCAGGGACGAAGCAAGUGACGGUACCUGAGGAAUAAGCCACGGCUAACUACGUGCCAGCAGCCGCGGUAAUACGUAGGUGGCAAGCGUUAUCCGGAUUUACUGGGUGUAAAGGGCGGGUAGGCGGGAAAGCAAGUCAGAUGUGAAAACCAUGGGCUCAACCUGUGGCCUGCAUUUGAAACUGUUUUUCUUGAGUACUGGAGAGGCAGACGGAAUUCCUAGUGGAGCGGUGAAAUGCGUAGAUAGUAGGAGGAACACCAGUGGCGAAGGCGGUCUGCUGGACAGCAACUGACGCUGAGGCGCGAAAGCGUGGGGAGCAAACAGGAUUAGAUACCCGAGUAGUC
rnacentral:rRNA from 1 species